UGGGGAAUAUUGCACAAUGGGCGAAAGCCAUGAUGCAGCGACGCCGCGUGAGCGAUGAAGCCUUCGGGUGUGAAGCUCUUUCGGCUGGAACGAUAAUGACGGUACCAGCAGAAGAAGCUGCGGCUAACUACGUGCCAGCAGCCGCGGUAAUACGUAGGCAGCGAGCGUUGUUCGGAGUUACUGGGCGUAAAGAGUGCGUAGGCGGUGCGGCAAGUCUGGUGUGAAAUCUCCCGGCUUAACUGGGAGGGUGCGCUAGAAACUGCCGUGCUAGAGUGUGGGGAGAGGUAAGCGGAAUUCCUGGUGUAGCGGUGAAAUGCGUAGAUAUCAGGAGGAACACCUGCGGUGUAGACAGCUUACUGGACCAUACUGACGCUGAGGCACGAAAAGCGUGGGUAGCAAAACA
rnacentral:rRNA from 1 species